ACCGGGAGGCAGCAGUGGGGAAUUUUGGACAAUGGGCGCAAGCCUGAUCCAGCAAUGCCGCGUGUGUGAAGAAGGCCUUCGGGUUGUAAAGCACUUUUGUCCGGAAAGAAAACCUCCGCCCUAAUACGGUGGGGGGAUGACGGUACCGGAAGAAUAAGCACCGGCUAACUACGUGCCAGCAGCCGCGGUAAUACGUAGGGUGCAAGCGUUAAUCGGAAUUACUGGGCGUAAAGCGUGCGCAGGCGGUCCGCUAAGACAGAUGUGAAAUCCCCGGGCUUAACCUGGGAACUGCAUUUGUGACUGGCGGGCUAGAGUAUGGCAGAGGGGGGUAGAAUUCCACGUGUAGCAGUGAAAUGCGUAGAGAUGUGGAGGAAUACCGAUGGCGAAGGCAGCCCCCUGGGCCAAUACUGACGCUCAUGCACGAAAGCGUGGGGAGCAAACAGGAUUAGAUACCCUGGUAGUCCACGCCCUAAACGAUGUCAACUAGUUGUCGGGUCUUCAUGACUUAUAACGUAGUUCUCCGAAAGUGACCGCCGGGGAGACGUCGCAAGU
rnacentral:rRNA from 1 species